rnacentral:rRNA from 1 species
CCAGACUCCUACGGGAGGCAGCAGUGAGGAAUAUUGGUCAAUGGGCUUACGCCUGAACCAGCCAAGUCGCGUGAGGGAAGACUGCCCUAUGGGUUGUAAACCUCUUUUGUCAGGGAGCAACGCCGGCUACGUGUAGCCGGACUGAGAGUACCUGAAGAAAAAGCAUCGGCUAACUCCGUGCCAGCAGCCGCGGUAAUACGGAGGAUGCGAGCGUUAUCCGGAUUUAUUGGGUUUAAAGGGUGCGCAGGCGGAGGUGCAAGUCAGCGGUCAAAUUGCGGGGCUCAACCCCGUACUGCCGUUGAAACUGCAUCCCUUGAGUGCGCGAGAAGUAUGCGGAAUGCGUGGUGUAGCGGUGAAAUGCAUAGAUAUCGAGAGGAACACUCGUGGCGAAGGCGGGUUCCUGGACAUUAACUGACGCUGAGGCACGAAGGCCAGGGGAGCGAAAGGGAUUAGAUACCCUUGUAC